CCUUGAGUGCUAGUUUGGGAACAUAAACUUGAUUUAGUACUAUUUUUGUCUUUUUCUCAAAAAAACUUUCCCUAGGGUCCAAAAUAAUUUUGGCCAUUCAUGGCUACAUGUAUAGAAAAGUUCACACUUUCAGACUUUUCAAAGCAUACAUUUAUUCAUGAACUUGGAUAACAUUCCAAAACUAGUGAAUGAUAUGACUGGAUGACUUUGUUUGAUUUCAUUGACCAGUCACCCAUUUACUCUUAAUUUUGGAUUAAUAAAACAAAAUCGGCGCAUCUUAACAUCAUCUUUUCAUUGUUAUUUGUUGAAGAUGUCUCAUCAUCGAUCGGGUUGCUUAGUCUCCAUACCACUAUUAUUGCUUAUUCUCAGCUUCCUACUCGCUUCCUUCUCCGACAGGGCAGUGGGUUUCCGCCCUCGAGCGGAUCGUUCACACCGAAUUUUCGGAUCUUUAUUGCGCCGGUGAUAAAUUUCUUGGUGAGCAAGAAAUCUCCUCUGCUCGUAAAUAUCUACACUUACUUCACCUACGCUAACAACAUGAGAGACGUCCGUUUGGAAUACGCUUUGUUAACUCCAAGUGAGACUGUAGUCACUGACAGGACAAACACAUACGGGAUAAACCUCUUCGUCGCACUCCUGGACACUGCCUACGUGGCAUUGGAGAAAUUAAGGGGCGGAGCAGUGAAGAUCGUGGUGUCGGAGAGCGGUUGGCCGACAGCGGGAGGAACCGCUGCGAGUGUGUAUAACGCAAGAACUUAUGUAAAGAAUUUGAUACAAACUGUGAAUUCGAAGACUGGAACUCCAAGGAGGCCAGAGAGAGUUACCGAGACUUAUUUAUUGUUGGAUUUUGAUAUCAGGCUAGUGAAUAAUUGUUCUGAUAUCUCAGGAUCAAGGCUUGAUAAUAGGAGAUGAUUUUUUUUC